AUUGAACGCUGGCGGAAUGCUUUACACAUGCAAGUCGAACGGCAGCACGGGGGCAGCCCUGGUGGCGAGUGGCGAACGGGUGAGUAAUACAUCGGAACGUGCCCGGUCGUGGGGGAUAACGUAGCGAAAGUUACGCUAAUACCGCAUACGAUCUGAGGAUGAAAGCGGGGGACCUUCGGGCCUCGCGCGAUCGGAGCGGCCGAUGUCAGAUUAGGUAGUUGGUGGGGUAAAGGCCUACCAAGCCGACGAUCGGUAGCUGGUCUGAGAGGACGACCAGCCACACUGGGACUGAGACACGGCCCAGACUCCUACGGGAGGCAGCAGUGGGGAAUUUUGGACAAUGGGCGCAAGCCUGAUCCAGCCAUUCCGCGUGCAGGACGAAGGCCUUCGGGUUGUAAACUGCUUUUGUACGGAACGAAAAGGCUCUGGCUAAUACCUGGGGCUCAUGACGGUACCGUAAGAAUAAGCACCGGCUAACUACGUG
rnacentral:rRNA from 1 species